UCUUAGCUAGGAGAUAUAAAGUAAAGGAAAAUUUCUGCUAUAGGAUUCUAUUUAAUUUGAUUAGGUAGUUGAUAGGGUAACGGCCUACCAAGCCAACGAUCAAAAGUCAAGUUUGAAAGAACCUCUGGCCACAUUGGGGAUGAAAUCUCCCAAGUAGUAAUUACACUACCAGCAGUCGAGAAUAUUAGUCAAUGCUCGUAAGAGUGAACUAGCUAACUGAAAUCAUAGAAUUUCUUCAAAUUCAUGAUGUCGUAAGGGAAAAUAAUGAUAAUACCUUACUAUGAGUGUCGUCCAAAUCUGGUGCCAGAAGACUCGGUAAGACCAGAGACGCAAACGUUAAUCAUCAUAAACAGGCGUAAAGGGUUUGUAGGCAGCUUUUAUAAGAUAAUAAAAAUCUAAAUUGAAAGCUAGAAUCAAAAAGAGGUUAUAGUGUAUAACGCCUAGAGGAGGGCUGAUAUCCAUAGAUCCUAGGCAGAAUACUCAGGGCGAAGGCCACUCUCCACUAAUGAUUGACG
rnacentral:rRNA from 2 species